CCGCCGCCCGGCGCAGGGGCCGGGAGCAAGUGCACGCCGCGCGGAGGACGAAGAGGCUGCACGCACAGCCGCUGCCGGGGGUCGGGGCCAAGUGCGCGCCUCGCCGAGGACGAAGAGGCUGGCGUGCCCGGUGGCUCGGCUAGCUCCCGGGUCCCGGCCCCGCCUGGAGGAUGCGGCUGUGGGGGAAUGGGAGCGGCCGGACCUCCCAGCCUGACAGUGCAUCAAGAGCUUUGCGGAGCCUACAGCCCGGAUGGGACGACUGAGGCCCUCCCGCUGGCGAGCUGGCCGAGGGCUCGUCCCUCUCCAGCUAAAGCGCCAGCUUACGAUACAGCCAAACUGCCGGCUCUCAUCGGCUGUGGGAGCAGGAGGCCCCCAGGGGUAAAUCCCGGAGCCUCGUCUCUGAAGCCUGGCGCUUGUGUCUCAGAAGGCUGGAGUGCAAUAGCACCAUCUCGGCUCACUGCAACCUCUGCCUCCCAGGUUCAAGUGAUUCUCCUGCCUUAGCCUCCUGAGUAGCUAGGAUUACAGAUUUAUAGGAGCAUUGUGACUGGACCAAGGACAAAGAAGUUCCCAACCUCCUCAGACCCUCGCUGCUGCCCAGAUGUCUGCCAUGGGGUGGCCAUCAUCGAAUCCACUGAGGGCGCAAAUAGAACAAAAAGGUGAAGAAAAGGUGAAUUCUCUCCUUUCUUGAGCUGGGACAUCCAACUUCUCAGACAUCAGAGCUCCUGGAGGCCUUCAGACUCCGAGACAUUACACCAUUGGCUCACCUGGUCCUCAGGUCUUUGGACUUGGAAUGAAUUACACCAUUGGCUUUCCAGGUCUUCCAGCUUGCAGAUGGCAGAUUGUGGGACUUUUCAGCCUCCAUAACUUUGUCAUCCAAUUCCCAUAAUAAAUCGCCUCUUAUAUCUGU
rnacentral:lncRNA from 1 species